rnacentral:rRNA from 1 species
CUUGGUCAUUUAGAGGAAGUAAAAGUCGUAACAAGGUUUCCGUAGGUGAACCUGCGGAAGGAUCAUUAAUGUAACCGGACCGGUCCUUUGCCGUAAAACGCAUUGGAUGGGAAUGGGAGAUAUCAUACAACCCUGUGUUUAUUUACCUUUGUUGCUUUGGCGGGCCGUUCUUUUAGACGUCGGCCUCGGCUGAUCGCGCCCGCCAGAGGACCCAAACUCUUUUAUCAGUGAUGUCUGAGUAUUAUAUAAUAGUUAAAACUUUCAACAACGGAUCUCUUGGUUCUGGCAUCGAUGAAGAACGCAGCGAAAUGCGAUAAGUAAUGUGAAUUGCAGAAUUCAGUGAAUCAUCGAAUCUUUGAACGCACAUUGCGCCCCUUGGUAUUCCGAGGGGCAUGCCUGUUCGAGCGUCAUUUCAACCCUCAAGCACAGCUUGGUCUUGGGCUUCGCCGCUAACCCGGCGGGUCUUAAAAUCAGUGGCGGUGCCGUCGGGCCCUGAGCGCAGUAAUCUCUCUCGCUAUAGGGUCCCGGCGGAUGCUGGCCAGUAACCCCCAAUUUUCUAUGGUUGACCUCGGAUCAGGUAGGGAUACCCGCUGAACUUAAGCAUAUCAAUAAGCGGAGGA